AAGGCUUUCCCAAUCAAACUGUGAUCCUUAGAAGUCUGUUUCACCUUGCAUACACCAAUUCUUUUAGCUACAAACAUCAUGUCGUAGAAUGUGUAACUGCUAGACACUGGUGCCGAAACAAAGUACUAGACAGUGGUUUAAAAACUAGAGAAACAUGUUUGCAAUAUUAUCAGUAGAUUGAAAUCAGUGUAAAAUAUAACUAAGGUAUUUGAUCCUCAAUCAUGCAAUGACUUGCCUGGAGAAAAAUCUUUCAUACGGCAGUCCUUUAAACAGAUCUGAAACAAGAUUAUUCCUCUUAAAAUUCCAUUCUUUACCUGAAGAUUUUUGAUGUUAUCCGGGAGAGGUUUGGUACUAAAAAUGGUCGAAAUGAAUAUUCAAAUCCUGUAAAAACAAAGAUUUCAGCGGUUCUUGUGUUUCCAUGUUUGCUAUUGACAAAGUGGUUCUCAGUGAGUUGAAUUUGAUUUCAUAUACCCUUUACAGGAACUUUGAUUUCAUUCGUGCAUUAGAAAGAGCAUGUAGGUUCCAAGAAGGCUUGAUUGAAAAUAUAUACUUAAAUACCUGAGGAUGUGAACGCAGAGAAAAGAUUUCGAGAUAGAAAUCUGAAAGUAAAGAAAACAAGACAAACUAUACGCAUAAAUUGAGUAGACAACACCAAUAAACUACACUACACAACUUCC
rnacentral:lncRNA from 1 species